GACGAACGCUGGCGGCGUGCUUAACACAUGCAAGUCGAACGGAAAGGCCCUGCUUUUGUGGGGUGCUCGAGUGGCGAACGGGUGAGUAACACGUGAGUAACCUGCCUUUGACUUUGGGAUAACUUCAGGAAACUGGGGCUAAUACCGGAUAGGAGCUCCUGCUGCAUGGUGGGGGUUGGAAAGUUUCGGCGGUUGGGGAUGGACUCGCGGCUUAUCAGCUUGUUGGUGGGGUAGUGGCUUACCAAGGCUUUGACGGGUAGCCGGCCUGAGAGGGUGACCGGCCACAUUGGGACUGAGAUACGGCCCAGACUCCUACGGGAGGCAGUAGUGGGGAAUAUUGCACAAUGGGCGGAAGCCUGAUGCAGCAACGCCGCGUGCGGGAUGACGGCCUUCGGGUUGUAAACCGCUUUCGCCUGUGACGAAGCGUGAGUGACGGUAAUGGGUAAAGAAGCACCGGCUAACUACGUG
rnacentral:rRNA from 1 species